GAUCUACUUCAAGGAUGUAACUUUUCCUGCUGCCAACCCUCAACCGUAACCUUUACUUACCUCUAUGGUCUCCUCAACCCCUCCAUCUUUCUCCAUUCCUCACUUCCCAUUACCCAGCCUAUCCCCCCCAUCUCUGCACACCCCUCGGACUCUGUUAUAUGAUCUACUUCAAGGAUGAUUCCCACUCAAUCUCCAUCUCUGCUGGCUGAGGAUAUACCCCAUGUAUGGUUCAAUCAAGCUACUAAUGUCUCGAUUCAUCAGUACUUCUUCAAUGGUGGCACUGAUUCCUCCACCAAACCUUCACCUUUACCCACCUCUACUACACUGUCGUGCAACCACACUGAGGCUUUUACCCAAUCCCUUUGAAGAGAAACAGAGGAUGACCCUCUUGAGGAAUCUGAUGGGGAGGCCAUUUACUCCUUAAUUACCAAGAAUGCUGCUUGUUCCAGCAACCCUAGCAUUAUUUUAAAACAUGUCUCUAAACUGCUGCUCGAGAGGGAUGCUCAGGUUGGAUCUCUGAUUUCAUAUGAGGAGGGUAACUGUCAAGUUUCUCACUCCUAUGUUGAACCAAUUGAUGGGGUAAGGAUGACACAGUUGAACCAGGACCAGGAAAGCAUAUUGAAGCAAGCAGAAGCGGUCUUCUACUUAGAUUAGAAUAUGCAAGACUUCAGGGAUGGACAAUCAAUGAAGUUCGGAGUGAUCUAGAGAAGUUGAACAAUUCUUUUUGGAACCUAGUACCACUUUGUGGCCUUCGAGCAUGAUCCCCAUUUUUUAGAUGUGAAUAAUUCUCUCCUCUCAUCUUUUUCCAGUACAGGCCUCGGAACAAUGUGGUCCUUUUUAUUAAACAAUUAGCUUUUGUACCAUGACCAAACAUUCUCCUCUUUCUAUCACUAAUAAGGACAUAUAUGUAAUUUCAUUAUUGCAGUAAUAAA